rnacentral:rRNA from 1 species
UAAGCAUAUCAAUAAGCGGAGGAAAAGAAACCAACAGGGAUUGCCUCAGUAACGGCGAGUGAAGCGGCAACAGCUCAAAUUUGAAAUCUGGCGGCCUCUGGGCCGUCCGAGUUGUAAUUUGAAGAGGAUGCUUUUGGCGAGGCGCCUUCCGAGUGCCCUGGAACGGGACGCCACAGAGGGUGAGAGCCCCGUAUGGUUGGACGCCGAGCCUCUGUAAAGCUCCUUCGACGAGUCGAGUAGUUUGGGAAUGCUGCUCAAAAUGGGAGGUAAACCCCUUCUAAAGCUAAAUACUGGCCAGAGACCGAUAGCGCACAAGUAGAGUGAUCGAAAGAUGAAAAGCACUUUGAAAAGAGAGUUAAAUAGCACGUGAAAUUGUUGAAAGGGAAGCGCUUGCGACCAGACUUGUGCCCGUCGAAUCAGCCGCCGCUCGCCGGCGGCGCACUUCGGCGGGCUCAGGCCAGCAUCAGUUCGCUGCAGGGGGAGAAAGGCGGCGGGAAUGUGGCUCUUCGGAGUGUUAUAGCCCGCCGCGCAAUACCCCUCGGCGGACUGAGGACCGCGCAUCUGCAAGGAUGCUGGCGUAAUGGUCGUCAGCGACCCGUCUUGAAACACGGACCAAGGAGUCGUCCUAAUAUGCGAGUGUUCGGGUGUAAAACCCCUGCGCGUAAUGAAAGUGAACGGAGGUGAGAGCUUCGGCGCAUCAUCGACCGAUCCUGAUGUUCUCGGAUGGAUUUGAGUAAGAGCAUAUUGGGCCGGACCCGAAAGAAGGUGAACUAUGCCUGUAUAGGGUAAAGCCAGAGGAAACUCUGGUGGAGGCUCGCAGCGGUUCUGACGUGCAAAUCGAUCGUCAAAUAUGGGCAUGGGGGCGAAAGACUAAUCGAACCUUCUAGUAGCUGGUUUCCGCCGAA